rnacentral:rRNA from 1 species
AUGAACGGCCAUAGUGGCUUGGUCCGAUCCGAUCCCAUUCGAACUCGGAAAUCAAACAGGCCGACGUUUUGUGCAUUACUGUUGUUUUCAACGGGAAACACAUUUCGCUGUUCAUC